GGAACGGGUGAGUAACACGGUGGGUAAUCUGCCCUGCACUCUGGGAUAAGCCUGGGAAACUGGGUCUAAUACUGGAUAUGACCUUUCUCCUUAUGGGGUUUGGUGGAAAGUUUUUCGGUGUAGGAUGAGCCCGCGGCCUAUCAGCUUGUUGGUGGGGUGAUGGCCUACCAAGGCGACGACGGGUAGCCGGCCUGAGAGGGUGAUCGGCCACAUUGGGACUGAGAUACGGCCCAG
rnacentral:rRNA from 1 species